CUCUUGUAUGAAAGGACAGAAGGUUAGCACUCCCCUUGAUAAGGAUGGAAGAGGUCCUACUGACCUUUACAACAUGUAUAUGGUUAAGGCAUUGCCACUUAUUUCAUGGCAUCUAAUCAAGUUUUUUU
ensembl:snRNA